AUUACUUUGGCAGAGGAAAGUAUGUGCUAGAUUUAGGGUCUAAGAAGAUAGAGAAGGUUCUAUAGGUAAUA
rnacentral:tRNA from 1 species